GACGAACGCUGGCGGCGUGCCUAAUACAUGCAAGUAGAACGCUGAAGGAGGAGCUUGCUUCUCUGGAUGAGUUGCGAACGGGUGAGUAACGCGUAGGUAACCUGCCUGGUAGCGGGGGAUAACUAUUGGAAACGAUAGCUAAUACCGCAUAAGAUUGACUAUUGCAUGAUAGUCAGUUAAAAGGUGCAAUUGCACCACUACCAGAUGGACCUGCGUUGUAUUAGCUAGUUGGUGGGGUAACGGCUCAUCAAGGCGACGAUACAUAGCCGACCUGAGAGGGUGAUCGGCCACACUGGGACUGAGACACGGCCCAGACUCCUACGGGAGGCAGCAGUAGGGAAUCUUCGGCAAUGGACGGAAGUCUGACCGAGCAACGCCGCGUGAGUGAAGAAGGUUUUCGGAUCGUAAAGCUCUGUUGUAAGAGAAGAACGAGUGUGAGAGUGGAAAGUUCACACUGUGACGGUAUCUUACCAGAAAGGGACGGCUAACUACGUG
rnacentral:rRNA from 1 species